UACGUAGGGGGCUAGCGUUGUCCGGAAUUAUUGGGCGUAAAGCGCGCGCAGGUGGUUCCUUAAGUCUGAUGUGAAAGCCCACGGCUCAACCGUGGAGGGUCAUUGGAAACUGGGGAACUUGAGUGCAGAAGAGGAAAGUGGAAUUCCAAGUGUAGCGGUGAAAUGCGUAGAGAUUUGGAGGAACACCAGUGGCGAAGGCGACUUUCUGGUCUGUAACUGACACUGAGGCGCGAAAGCGUGGGGAGCAAACAGG
rnacentral:rRNA from 1 species